rnacentral:tRNA from 1 species
GGAUCUAUAGUUCAGGGGCUAGAACACCAGAUUUUAAUUCUGGAAACAUGAGUUCAACUCUCGUCAGAUCUA